UUAGUGGAAGCGUCUGGAUUAGUGGAAGCGUCUGGAAAKGCGCGCGAUACAGGGUGACAGCCCCGUACACAAAAGCGCAUGUGCUGUGAGCUCGAUGAGUAGGGCGGGACACGUGGUAUCCUGUCUGAAUAUGGGGGGACCAUCCUCCAAGGCUAAAUACUCCUGACUGACCGAUAGUGAACCAGUACCGUGAGGGAAAGGCGAAAAGAACCCCGGCGAGGGGAGUGAAAAAGAACCUGAAACCGUGUACGUACAAGCAGUGGGAGCCCCACCACUAAGCCAGUGGUGAACUCCACAUACGCAUCCUUUGCUGAGGAUACGGUUAACGGAGCGAAAGCGACGUUCAACCUCAAAAGAAGCAGAGGGGGCUUAGUGGUGGGGUGACUGCGUACCUUUUGUAUAAUGGGUCAGCGACUUAUAUUCUGUAGCAAGGUUAACCGAAUAGGGGAGCCGGAGGGAAACCGAGUCUUAAUUGGGCGUUAAGUUGCAGGGUAUAGACCCGAAACCCGGUGAUCUAGCCAUGGGCAGGUUGAAGGUUGGGUAACACUAACUGGAGGACCGAACCGACUAAUGUUGAAAAAUUAGCGGAUGACCUGUGGCUGGGGGUGAAA
rnacentral:rRNA from 1 species